rnacentral:rRNA from 1 species
UGCCAGAUAGAGAACUUUCCUGAGAUGGAUUGGUGCCUUCUGGAACUCCGACACAGGUGCUGCAUGGCUGUUGUCAGCUUGUGUCGUGAGAUGUUGGGUUAAGUCCCGUAACGAGCGCAACCCUUGUCCUUUGUUACCAGCACCUCGGGUGGGCACUCUAAGGAGACUGCCGGUGACAAACCGGAGGAAGGUGGGGAUGACGUCAAGUCAUCAUGGCCCUUACGGCCAGGGCUACACACGUGCUACAAUGGUCGGUACAAAGGGUUGCCAAACCGCGAGGUGGAGCUAAUCCCAUAAAACCGAUCGUAGUCCGGAUCGCAGUCUGCAACUCGACUGCGUGAAGUCGGAAUCGCUUGUAAUCGUGAAUCAGAAUGUCACGGUGAAUACGUUCCCGGGCCUUGUACACACCGCCCGUCACACCAUGGGAGUGGGUUGCUCCAGAAGUAGCUAGUCUAACCGCAAGGGGGACGGUUACCACGGAGUGAUUCAUGACUGGGGGAAGUCGAACAAGGAGCCAGGCCC